rnacentral:rRNA from 1 species
CGGGGGGCAGCAGGCGCGAAACCUUUACAAUGCACGCAAGUGUGACAAGGGAAUCCCAAGUGCUUAUGCACUGCAUAGGCUUUUGCUAAGAGUAAGUAUCUUGGCGAAUAAGUGGUGGGUAAGACUGGUGCCAGCAGCCGCGGUAACACCAGCGCCACGAGUGGCAAUCAUAAUUAUUGGGCCUAAAGCGUCCGUAGCCGGUUUGAUAAGUCUUUUGUGAAAUCGUUGUGCUUAACAUAACGGUGUGCAAGAGAUACUGUCAGACUUGGAACUGGGAGGAGCAAGAGGUAUGCCGCGGGGACUGGUAAAAUGGUAUAAUCCGCGGUAGACCACCGAUGGCGAAGGCAUCUUGCCAGAACGGAUCUGACGGUGAGGGACGAAAGCCAGGGGAGCGAACCGGAUUAGAUACCCGAGUAGUCCUGGCCGUAAACGCUGUGAGCUAGGUGUAGCCCAUCCUACGGGGAUGGGCUGUGUCGAAACGAAGGUGCUAAGCUCACGGGCCUGGGAAGUACG